rnacentral:lncRNA from 1 species
UGGCCAUCAAUAUAUUUGUACGAGUCAGGUGGUUGUUUUGGUCAGUUGUAUUGGUCAGUAUUUGUUUGUACUUCCUGUUAUCCUUUAGUGUCAUAUUAGAUAAGACAUAUAUGCAAGGUAUAACACUUUUAUCUGAACCCCAAGGACAUACUUUGAGGCCAGGAGGACUUUUUUCAAGAAUUGGCGAUUGCCCUUUUAAAUUCAUAGGAAUUCUUAAAUAGUAAGUCAGAUUAUCUGGAAUUAUAAGAAUAUAAUUAUAUCGUAAUGAUGAAACAAGACACAUUAUUUUCACAGGAAUUCAGAUUUGGCAUUCAUUUUCUAAUGAAUUCAUGUUGAGACUCACUCCUACCCUUCCCUACUUUUCAAACAUAGACUACAAUCAAUAACAAGUAUAACUUUCAUAUAUGGUUAAAAAAAAAACCAACACAAAGCUUUUAACAAUAUACAUCCCACAGGUUAAUCCAAUCAGUGUAAGCCCUAUAUUUAUCGUGCAGUCAUUCAAAACACAUCAAGAUCAAGAACAAUCUCUAGGUUAAUAUUAGUGAAAAAAUAAUCAACAAAAACAUACAGUGUACUAUAUUAUCGAAACCACAAAGAAGUAAUGCCAAAUAAUGUAAAACAACCAACUACAAUGUACUCUAUAAAUUGGAAAUAAAUUUGAAAA